rnacentral:rRNA from 1 species
CCUACGGGAGACUGCAGUGGGGAAUAUUGGGCAAUGGGCGCAAGCCUGACCCAGCAACGCCGCGUGAAGGAAGAAGGCUUUCGGGUUGUAAACUUCUUUUGACAGGGAAGAGGAGAAGACGGUACCUGUCGAAUAAGCCACGGCUAACUACGUGCCAGCAGCCGCGGUAAUACGUAGGUGGCAAGCGUUGUCCGGAUUUACUGGGUGUAAAGGGCGGGUAGCCGGGUUGACAAGUCAGAUGUGAAAUCCUGCGGCUUAACCGCAGAACUGCCUUUGAAACUGUUGAUCUUGAGUACUGGAGUGGCAGUCGGACUUCCUCUUGUAGCGGUGAAAUGCGUAGAUAUUAGGAGGAACUCCAGUGGCGAAGGCGGUCUGCUGGACAGCACCUGCCGGUGAGGCGCGAACGCGUGGGGAGCACACAGGAUUAGAUACCCGGGUAGUC